GACGAACCGUACGAACGUUAUUCGGAAUCACUGGGCUUAAAGAGUUCGUAGGCGGUUCGACAAGUGAGGUGUGAAAGCCCUCGGCUUAACCGAGGAAUUGCGCUUCAAACUGUCGGGCUCGAGGGAGAUAGAGGUGAGCGGAACUGAUGGUGGAGCGGUGAAAUGCGUUGAUAUCAUCUGGAACACCUGUGGCGAAAGCGGCUUACUGGGUCCUUUCUGACGCUGAGGCACGAAAGCCAGGGGAGCAAACGGG
rnacentral:rRNA from 1 species